GAACGCUAGCGACAGGCUUAACACAUGCAAGUCGAGGGGCAGCACAGGUAGCAAGUACCGGGUGGCGACCGGCGCACGGGUGAGUAACGCGUAUGCAACUUGCCUAUCGAGGAGGGGGAUAACCCGGCGAAAGUCGGACUAAUACCGCAUGAAGCAGGGGCCCCGCAUGGGGAUAUUUGCUAAAGAUUCAUCGCUGAUAGAUAGGCAUGCGUUCCAUUAGGCAGUUGGCGGGGUAACGGCCCACCAAACCGACGAUGGAUAGGGGUUCUGAGAGGAGGGUCCCCCACAUUGGUACUGAGACACGGACCAAACUCCUACGGGAGGCAGCAGUGAGGAAUAUUGGUCAAUGGGCGCGAGCCUGAACCAGCCAAGUCGCGUGAGGGAUGAAGGUUCUAUGGAUCGUAAACCUCUUUUAUAAGGGAAUAAAGUGCGGGACGUGUCCCGUUUUGUAUGUACCUUAUGAAUAAGGAUCGGCUAACUCCGUG
rnacentral:rRNA from 1 species